rnacentral:rRNA from 1 species
UACGUAGGUGGCAAGCGUUGUCCGGAUUUACUGGGCGUAAAGGAUGCGUAGGCGGAUGUUUAAGUGAGAUGUGAAAUACCCGAGCUCAACUUGGGUGCUGCAUUUCAAACUGGAUAUCUAGAGUGCAGGAGAGGAAAGCGGAAUUCCCAGUGUAGCGGUGAAAUGCGUAGAGAUUAGGAAGAACACCAGUGGCGAAGGCGGCUUUCUGGACUGUAACUGACGCUGAGGCAUGAAAGCGUGGGGAGCAAACAGG